rnacentral:rRNA from 1 species
UACGGGGGGGGCAAGCGUUGUUCGGAAUUACUGGGCGUAAAGGGCUCGUAGGCGGCCAACUAAGUCGGACGUGAAAUCCCCAGGCUCAACCUGGGAACUGCGUCCGAUACUGGAUGGCUUGAAUCCGGGAGAGGGAUGCAGAAUUCCAGGUGUAGCGGUGAAAUGCGUAGAUAUCUGGAGGAAUACCGGUGGCGAAGGCGGCAUCCUGGACCGGCAUUGACGCUGAGGAGCGAAAGCUAGGGGAGCAAACGGG